GCUAGUCUGGCUGUUGCGCCUUGCUGCCUCAAGGGUGCGCAAAAGCGGGAGGGGCGCGCCAACUCCUGACUCUGCAGGUGGCACAGCCGCCGCCCUGGGUCGCUGGAGUCGAAGGUCACCCCUGCGUGGAGGCUGGGGCGGUUCGCAGGGCCUGGACGCGACCAGGAUUUUCCCGCUGCGCCCGUCGCCCCAGGGAUCCCACAGCUCCGUUUCACAGUUGCCAGGAGCUCCGGGGAAUCACCUUUUCUCACCUGAGUUUUGAAUGCCACCUCGCAGUCAAGAAUCCGUGUGAAAGAGGGACAAACGCCCGCGCGCCAGCCUCAGAGACACCCCUUCGAAGUGAAACCCCAUGCAUUGCACCCUGGAGAGAAAUAAUUACCUGGGGGGAAAAAAAAAUCACUGGUGAGCUGCAGCUG
rnacentral:lncRNA from 1 species